UACGGAGGGUGCAAGCGUUAUCCGGAAUUACUGGGUUUAAAGGGUGCGUAGGCGGCUAGAUAAGUCAGAGGUGAAAGUUUGUCGCUUAACGAUAGAACUGCCUUUGAUACUGUUAAGCUUGAAAGUAGGUGAGGUUGGCGGAAUGUGUCAUGUAGCGGUGAAAUGCAUAGAUAUGUCAUAGAACACCGAUUGCGAAGGCAGACGGCUAACCUGAAUUUGACGCUGAGGCACGAAAGCGUGGGGAGCGAACAGG
rnacentral:rRNA from 1 species